UCUAGUGGCCAAAUGCUGUUUUUAGUUUCGUUUUUAAGGGUGCGUAGUUAGUGAGUUUCUAUAGUGCAGUCUCAUGUUUAUUUUAUAGAAACAGGCGGAGACAUACAUUUAAUGCGGUAUAUCAUUUAUAUAAAAUGAAACCACAUGACAGUUUUGCAGACCAACCUGCUUCUAUGCACACUAAAGCCAAAUCUAGCAGACGAUGCUAAUGCUAAUGCGUUAUAAACAACAGCGAGGGUUACAGUGUCCCCGCGUUAAUGUUGUAGCGGGAAUCCUGCUUUGUAUUUGACUUGAAAUAACGUUUUAUUCAUUUUUCUUAGAAAUGAACGCGUUAUUCCUCGUUUUGUCUUCCUGUGUGUUGCUGAGGAGAGGUGUGCAAAGUGUGGUUUUCACCUGCUGCCGAAAUGUCCCUCCGAGACAUUUUUGCAGACCAGAACAUGAAAGAGACUUUAUCAUAUCCGUCAUGUGAGCUGUUUUGACCAGUGAACAAACAUCCACUCAAAGCACACUGAUGCAUAGGAGGAGUUACUUCUGGAUCUGGAGCAGACAUCUUUAGCGGUCAACAUAUCUGAUCCUGAACCUAAGAUGCAGAAGAUCCCGAGAGCAGCUACGAUCAACAGAGAUCCAGCAGAAACAGAGAUCAACACAAUCAGAGAGACUGAGUCUAGAGGAACUGAAGGAGAGAGAAAGAGUCAUUAAUGAGAGAGUCACAUGACCCACGUUCACCACCGAACACAACAAUGAACAAUUCUGCUGUGAUGAAGAUGAUGAAGAUGAUGAAGAACAGUUUGAAGAAUGCAGAAGAUCCCGAGAGCAGCUACGAUCAACAGAGAUCCAGCAGAGACAGAGAUCAACACAAUCAGAGAGACUGAGUCUGGAGGAACUGAAGGAGAGAGAAAGAGAGACAAUAAAACGUGAUUAAUGUGUGAU